AUCUGGGUGGCUAAGACCGAGUCUGAUGGGGGUCUCGCUGCUGGUUCAGCCACCACCACCUGAAACUUUUCUCAGGGGGCUCAGCAGUGGAUGGUGGUCGUACUGUCCUCUAAGCCUGCCCUGACUAUCAUCAGGAAACAACCAGCCAUAGGGACAGUGGACCCUGUUCCUUCUCUGACUAUGGAGCCAUUUAAAAAGCUGUUCUUAAUGUCUUGGUGGAGGCUUCUUCCUAAAUUCUCUCCCAUUUCGGUGGACUGUUGGGCUUGAAUGGACAGCCCAGUCCUGACUAAUUUAACCAGCAGAGGUGGCCGUGGGGAGGGAAGAGAAAGAGGGGGCAACCUGGGAAGUCUGGUGAGUCCAAGUCUCCGAGACCAGCCCCACGGUCCACUGUGGGCAGUGUCAGUCAUGAAAGGUGGGGCUGUGAUGGCCUAGAAAGCUGAGUGUCUGAGCUGGGCUGUGUCCUCACAGCACCUCCAAACUAGCUGGGGGUACUCUACCUCAUAAAGAAGAAGCUGCAGAUUCCAUCUCAGCUUAUUGCAAAGAACAACCUGAAGAGAGAUUUCAACUAGAAAGGAGAGUCAGGGGAUCCUGGAUAACUCAUUGAGCAGAGACAAUCCUGGUCCCUCGAGGGGCCAGUGGCUCCGAAGGGAUUUUGCUGAAAAUCCAGGAAAAUCGUGGGAAACACAAGCCACCUAGCAAGAUGUCUGGUAAAGAAAAAGCCUUUGGUAAAGGAAGAUGGCGACCACUCCUCAUGUGUACGUGGUUACAUGUGUUUGCUGGGUACCUGUCUGAGUGCAGCAGCCCUGUGUAGGAAGAGGAGUUAACAGAACACAGGCGAACACAGGCGGCAAAUCAAGGCCAAGGGAGAGGAGCGUGUGGGCAGGGCAUCUGUGAGGAAUGGUGACCACGACUAAUCCUCCAUUUGGCAUUUCUCAUUUCUGAAUGCUUAAAACUGCUGCCCGGUCUAAAGAAGAUGGAGGCUCUACUGGAGCAAGCUGGUUAAGGAACUGUUAUGGCUGUGACGGCAGACUGAGCUCAGCUAGUCACUGGGACUUAUCAGCUCCUGGAUGCAAAGUCCUGUUGUUUGGACAAUCAAUGGAGCAAUCAUAGGGCGCCGGGGUUUCUAUUAGGAAGUCAUGUGACCAAUGGAAUGUUAAGGAAACAGACUAUGUUAAAUAGCCCCAUUUGGAUCCCUGGGAGCAGACUCUUCAUUCCAUCUUUUUGUGGGGGCCGGAGUGCUGGAGUAGCGGCUCAGACAUAAUUUGCUGAAUAUAAUAAAUGAA